rnacentral:rRNA from 1 species
GAAGUAAAAGUCGUAACAAGGUCUCCGUUGGUGAACCAGCGGAGGGAUCAUUACUGAGUUUACGCUCUACAACCCUUUGUGAACAUACCUAUAACUGUUGCUUCGGCGGGCAGGGUCUCCGUGACCCUCCCGGCCUCCCGCCCCCGGGCGGGUCGGCGCCCGCCGGAGGAUAACCAAACUCUGAUUUAACGACGUUUCUUCUGAGUGGUACAAGCAAAUAAUCAAAACUUUUAACAACGGAUCUCUUGGUUCUGGCAUCGAUGAAGAACGCAGCGAAAUGCGAUAAGUAAUGUGAAUUGCAGAAUUCAGUGAAUCAUCGAAUCUUUGAACGCACAUUGCGCCCGCCAGCAUUCUGGCGGGCAUGCCUGUUCGAGCGUCAUUUCAACCCUCAAGCUCUGCUUGGUGUUGGGGCCCUACGGCUGACGUAGGCCCUCAAAGGUAGUGGCGGACCCUCCCGGAGCCUCCUUUGCGUAGUAACUUUACGUCUCGCACUGGGAUCCGGAGGGACUCUUGCCGUAAAACCCCCAAUUUUCCAAAGGUUGACCUCGGAUCAGGUAGGAAUACCCGCUGAACUUAAGCAUAUC